UACGAAGGGGGCUAGCGUUGUUCGGAAUCACUGGGCGUAAAGGGCGCGUAGGCGGCUUUGUAAGUCGGGGGUGAAAGCCUGUGGCUCAACCACAGAAUUGCCUUCGAUACUGCAUGGCUUGAGACCGGAAGAGGUAAGUGGAACUGCGAGUGUAGAGGUGAAAUCGUAGAUAUUCGGAAGAACACCAGUGGCGAAGGGCG
rnacentral:rRNA from 1 species